GUCAGGAUGGCCGAGCGGUCUAAGGCGUUGCGUUCAGGUCGCAGUCUCUGCUGGAGGCAUGAGUUUGAAUCCCAUUCCUGACA